GAAGGCAAGUUUGGUAGAGGGUCUUCCGGUGUUAUGAUUGGAGAAACUGCCGGCGAUCAUGUGAUAUGUUAGCUCUGGUGAACCAAUAGGAUGGUUUUGUUGAAGCUUCUGUGAUGGUUCGGAUUUGAGGUAAGGAAACUGCAUUUGGAAACUAGAACUCUGAGUUUGCAUCAUGGAUGAUUAUGAAGGCACACCUUUUAAUUCGGUGGAAGAAGAAAAUUCUUAUUGGAAAGAGAUGUGUGAAAAGUACAAACGAUGUGCUGAAGAUCA